rnacentral:rRNA from 1 species
UACAGAGGUCUCAAGCGUUGUUCGGAUUCAUUGGGCGUAAAGGGUGCGCAGGCGGCGUCACGCGUGGCUAGAUGAAAUCUCCUGGCUUACCUGGGAGGGUGGUAGCCAGACGGUGGCGCUUGAGGGUCGGAGAGGGGCGUGGAAUUCCGGGUGGAGCGGUGAAAUGCGUAGAGAUCCGGAGGAACACCGACGGCGUAGGCAGCGCCCUGGACGACGACCUGACGCUGAGGCACGAAAGCUGGGGGAGCGAACAGGAUUAGGAAACCCUUGGAUGAGUACCAGAC